UUGGUGUGACAGUUCACUCAAAGUAAAGGUGGGUCAAUUUGGACAUAUGCUACCCAUUUUAGGUCUAAAUACAAAUCAAUCUCGAUAUGAAUUCUGAAAACCAGCUAAAACCAGCCCAAGCUGGUUGACUGGUUUUAAGCUGGUCUCUCAGCCUGGUAUUAGCUGUUCAGGAUUGUUUAGCAGGAUGUGUUUUUUUUUUGGCCACUUUAUAGCUGGUUAGGCUAGAAAACCAGCUGACCCACCAGCUUAAACCAGCUUGGCUAAGCUGGUUGGCUGGUCUAAGCUGGUUCCAGAUGGUCCUCCCACCCUGACCAGCUAAGACCAGCUACAAAGUGAACAUACACACCUUAGAGAGAGCAUAGGUCACACAGAGUACAAAAAUAUUUUACUAUUACGUAAAAUAAUGUAAGUUGUCUUAUAUAUUGAUCUUUGAUAUUAUUGUAGGUUUUGUUGUGGGUUCAGGGCAUCUUGAAGUACACUAUGAAUGACGUCAGAUAGAUCUAUUGCGAGUGACAACAUUUGAAUUAUCUGGCACGAGGAGUCACACGUCAUACUUCAACUGACACAACGGAGACGGUGGUAAAAGAGGGAAAAACUCCUUUAAAUUUCGAAUUUUUUUAUACUAAAUCCCAUUUAUUUUGUAGUUAAUUGUUGGAUAAGGUCGUAAUUUCGUCAAGUUUUCGUUACAGGGGGUUUCUGUUCCUGCAGUCUUCCAGCGACACUUCAGUCGUGUGUGUACUUGCUUGCCGCGUAUGACCAUACGGACACGAACAAUAUACCGCCACCUACUGUACUGUAGUAAAAUGACGUGUAUGAUUGAAUACGGUGGCACAGGCAGUAAAAAUAGCCCUGUAAGUCAUUGUAAAAAUUGGCUAAAUCACCAAAAUAAGUUUGUAGAUGUGGUUCAUUAAUUUUUCAUAACUAUGCAGCAUAAUGAAUCAGCCUGAAUUUAUUUAGCCUAUAAAAAUAUAUUUUUUAACUUUAUUUUUAAACCUUUAUAUGCUUUUAUAUGGUAUAUGGUUAAACCCUUAUAUGGUAGCAGUUUAAUUGAAUAAAAAUCUUAAAUUGAAUCAAAUCUCUUGUAAUAAUAAAAAAGCUCUUAAUUAUCUGCGAGGAUUGGGGGUACAUCUGGGUAACAUUUUAACAUUUAAGCAGCUUCCUUUUUAUAUUAUUUUACAUAAUUUGAUGUGUAUAUAUAUUAACUUAUCUUUAUUUAGUUUUCUCAGCCUUUAAACAUCUGACUGAUAAAUGUGUAGUGUACUACAAAAAGUUUUCUGUGCUAUGUUGCUCCAUUUCACGGAGCAAAAUAAGUCUGAGGUAGCACCAUCCUUGUGGUUUGAGUUGAACAAUGGGGGUAUUGAGACCAAAAUGAACAAUGUGCCACUCUAGACAGCUGUGGACAAAAUAUGCAUUCAGAGUAUUUUCUCAAACAGAGAGAGAAUUCCAGGCCAAAAGGACUCAACAGAGACAACAUUGUCAGUACACAAAACAAAAAGUUGGAAUGAUUAAGAAAAAUGCAUGUUUCUAUACAUAUUUUAUGUGAAUUAAUCAUUAUUGACAGUAAUUGCACAAGUGUAAGUAAAAACUUUAAAAAAAUCCAACUGUUGAAUAUUUGAUUGUUAAAUGCUAAACGUUAAACUAAAGUGUACAUGGUCCAUGUUAAUGUUUUUAGUAUUUUUUUUUUCAGCUGAGGAGCCAGAUGAGGAGCAACCAGUACAUCAAAGCAAAAAGAUGCUAUGAUAUUGUCUGAGGCACCUUAUUUUCCAUGUCCUUCACAGCACACCAGUCAAUUUCUGCCAUUCGGAAGAAUCAGAAAGAGAUCUUGGAUUGAAGAAUCAUUCUGAAAGUAGACCAAAUUCAGGACAACAUCACAGCAGUGGUCGGAAAAACAUCAGUCAAUGAGCAAGCCAAGCUAACUUUCAAAAGAUGAUUUGUUAUCUGUCUUCAGAGGGACGGCAGCUUGGAGGAUGCUACAGCUACACAGGGAGAAUUUCAGCAGCUCAGUUUCAUACUUGCAACUAAUAAUGAAUAAUAGUUAGAAGACAGCGGAAAGAAUUGACAUCGCAGAGACACACACCAAGAGACACGCACACACACGCAGCUGAAGCGAGUUUGACUGACGCCCAUGGGAGAUCGGGCACCGUGCACGCACGCACAAACAUGGAGCACAGCAUAAUUACAACUGUUGGAUUAAAAUAAAAGUACUUUGUGGUAUACAAUGUUUCUCGUGUCUGUUUUCAUUGGUUAGCAGGGAAAUAAAAUGACUUGCUGAGGACUUUAGGCGAACGUCCCCUAAAAGUCCCAAAAGUCUGCUGAACGUCCUGCGAACGUCCCUGUGAAAGUCCGGAGGCGUCGUCGCGGACGUCCGCUCGACGUAACGGGUACCCUACACAAUGACGUCUGUGGGACGUUCGCAGAGGACGUUUAGGGGACGUCCUGGGGACCUUUUUUGUUAGCUGGGAGCUGGCUGUCCAAUGACAUGGUUGGCCUAACGUUGGCCCAACGUUGUUUUAGUGGUUUUUAAGUUGGCAGAAGGUUGGUAAGGUUUUUUUUAGGUUGGCAGAAGGUCUGCUGGCCGUCCA